rnacentral:rRNA from 1 species
GACGAACGCUGGCGGCGUGCUUAACACAUGCAAGUCGAGCGGAAAGGCUCCUUCGGGGGUACUCGAGCGGCGAACGGGCGAGUAACACGUAAGUAAUCUGCCCUGGACUCUGGGAUAGCCACCGGAAACGGUGAUUAAUACCGGAUAUGACCACUAUCCGCAUGGGUUGGUGGUGGAAAGUUUUUUCGGUUCAGGGUGUGCUCGCGGUCUAUCAGCUUGUUGGUGAGGCAAUGGCUCACCAAGGCUUUGACGGGUAGCCGGCCUGGGAGGGUGACCGGUCAGACAGGGACUGGGACACGGCCCAGACUACUACGGGAGGCAGCAGUGGGGAAUAUGGGACAGUGAGCGGAAGCCUGAUCCAGCAACGCCGCGUGAGGGACGACGGCCGUCGGGUUGUAAACCUCUUUCAGUACCGACGAAGCGAAAGUGACGGUAGGUACAGAAGAAGGACCGGCCAACUACGUGCCAGCAGCCGCCGCCGUAA